rnacentral:rRNA from 1 species
CCUUACAUUGGGGGAUAGCCUUUCGAAGGGGAGAUUAAUACCGCAUAAGACAGUAGCUGGGCAUCCAGUAGCUGUUAAAGAUUUAUCGAUGUAAGCUGGGCAUGCGUCCAAUUGGUUAGUUGGCGAGGUAAUGGCUCACCAAGACGAUGAUUGGUAGGGGAACUGAGAGGUCAAUCCCCCACACUGGCACUGAGAUACGGGCCAGACUCCUACGGGAGGCAGCAGUAGGGAAUAUUGGGCAAUGGACGCAAGUCUGACCCAGCCAUGCCGCGUGCAGGAAGAAGGCGUUAUGCGUUGUAAACUGCUUUUAUAUAGGAAGAAACGACCCUUGCGAGGGGCAUUGACGGUACUAUAUGAAUAAGCACCGGCUAACUCCGUGCCAGCAGCCGCGGUAAUACGGAGGGUGCAAGCGUUGUCCGGAUUUAUUGGGUUUAAAGGGUGCGCAGGUGGUUUAUUAAGUCAGUGGUGAAAGACGGUCGCUCAACGAUUGCAGUGCCAUUGAUACUGGUAGACUUGAGUAAAGUAGAGGUGGGCGGAAUUGAUAGUGUAGCGGUGAAAUGCAUAGAUAUUAUCAAGAACUCCAAUCGCGUAGGCAGCUCACUUGGCUUUUACUGACACUCAUGCACGAAAGUGUGGGUAUCAAACAGGAUUAGAUACCCUGGUAGUCCACACUGUAAACGAUGAUAACUAGGUGUCGGCCGAAUCUGGUCGGUGCCACAGCGAAAGCGUUAAGUUAUCCACCUGGGGAGUACGCCGGCAACGGUGAAACUCAAAGGAAUUGACGGGGGUCCGCACAAGCG